rnacentral:rRNA from 1 species
CCUGGUUGAUCCUGCCAGUAGUCAUAUGCUUGUCUCAAAGAUUAAGCCAUGCAUGUGUAAGUACAGGCCGACUUAAGGCGAAACCGCGGACGGCUCAUUAAAUCAGAUAUAACUCAUUGGAUCUCUGCUGAACCGCAUUACUUGGAUAACUGUGGUAAUUCUAGAGCUAAUACAUGCCUUUGUAGUCUCCGACCGCGAGGGAGGAGCGCUUUUAUUAGACCAAAACCCUCGGCAGCCGGUUCCCGCAAGGGGCCGGCCGCACACAUCUUGGUGAAUCAGAAUAACUUUUGCCGAGCGCACGACCCCUCCCGUAACCCGGGUUGGGUCGGCGCCGCGUCCUGCAGGCGUCUGCCUUAUCAGCUCUCGAUUGUAGGUUAAACGCCUACAAUGGCUAUCACGGGUAACGGGGAAUCAGGGUUCGAUUCCGGAGAGGGAGCCUGAGAAACGGCUACCACAUCUAAGGAAGGCAGCAGGCGCGCAAAUUACCCACUCCCGGCACGGGGAGGUAGUGACGAAAAAUACUGUUGCGAGCCCCGAACGGGGCCUCGCAAUUGGAAUGAGUACACUUUAAAUCCUUGUACGAGGAUCGAGUGGAGGGCAAGUCUGGUGCCAGCCGCCGCGGUAAUUCCAGCUCCACUAGCGUAUAUUAAAGUUGUUGCGGUUGAAACGCUCGUAGUUUGACUUCUGCUCCGGACCGGCGGUCCGCCUUAGCGGCGGCUACUGCCGGGUUCCGAGCUGUGUCCCCGCCGGCGCACAUGGGGUUUUUAUGCCCUUAACCGGGUGUCCCCUUGUGGCCGGCACGUUUACUUUGAAAAAAUUAGAGUGCUCAGAGCAGGCUGGUUUUUGCUUACAGCCCGAAUGGUCGUGCAUGGAAUGAUGGAACAGGACCUCGGUUCUAUUUUGUCGGUUUUUCGGAACCCGAGGUAAUGAUUAAUAGAAGCAGACGGGGGCAUUCGUACUGCGACGCUAGAGGUGAAAUUCUUAGACCGUCGCAUGACGACCUACUGCGAAAGCAUCUGCCAAGGAUGUUUUCAUUGAUCAAGAACGAAAGUUAGAGGUUCGAAGGCGAUCAGAUACCGCCCUAGUUCUAACCUUAAACGAUGCUGACUAGCGAUCCGCCGCAGUUAUUCCCAUGACCCGGCGGGUAGCUUCCGGGAAACCAAAGUCUUUGAGUUCCGGGGGAAGUAUGGUUGCAAAGCUGAAACUUAAAGGAAUUGACGGAAGGGCACCACCAGGAGUGGAGCCUGCGGCUCAAUUUGACUCAACACGGGGAAACUCACCAGGCCAGGACACCGGAAGGAUUGACAGAAUGAAGGCUCUUUCUCGAUUCGGUGGGUGGUGGUGCAUGGCCGUUCUUAGUUGGUGGAGUGAUCUGUCUGGUUAAUUCCGAUAACGAACGAGACUCUAGCCUGCUAAAUAGUCGACGGAUCUCAACCCCGUUGCCCCCGUUGUCGUUCGCGGCGAUGCGGGGCGCGGGUUCCCCGAAACCCGGUCGUCGUGCGGGCCUCCACCGUCGGUCGGUUAGCGCCGCCGGCGGCGCGCCCCGCGGCGCCGGAAACUGGCGUCCGCUUCGCA